UACGAAGGGGGCUAGCGUUGUUCGGAAUUACUGGGCGUAAAGCGCGCGCAGGCGGUCCUUCAAGUCAGAGGUGAAAGCCCAGAGCUCAACUCUGGAACGGCCUUUGAGACUAGAGGACUAGGGUACGGGAGAGGUGAGUGGAAUUCCGAGUGUAGAGGUGAAAUUCGUAGAUAUUCGGAAGAACACCAGUGGCGAAGGCGGCUCACUGGCCCGUUACCGACGCUCAGGCGCGACAGCGUGGGGAGCAAACAGG
rnacentral:rRNA from 1 species